rnacentral:rRNA from 1 species
CAGUAGCCGCGGUAAUACGUAGGUCCCGAGCGUUGUCCGGAUUUAUUGGGCGUAAAGCGAGCGCAGGCGGUUAGAUAAGUCUGAAGUUAAAGGCUGUGGCUUAACCAUAGUACGCUUUGGAAACUGUUUAACUUGAGUGCAAGAGGGGAGAGUGGAAUUCCAUGUGUAGCGGUGAAAUGCGUAGAUAUAUGGAGGAACACCGGUGGCGAAAGCGGCUCUCUGGCUUGUAACUGACGCUGAGGCUCGAAAGCGUGGGGAGCAAGCAGGAUUAGAUACCCGAGUAGUCCCUGUCUCUUAUACA